rnacentral:tRNA from 1 species
GGCCUCAUCGUCUAGCGGCUAGGACAUCGCCCUCUCACGGCGAAAACAGGGGUUCAAUUCCCCUUGGGGCUACCA